CCCGCACAAGCGGUGGAGCAUGUGGUUUAAUUCGAUGCAACGCGAAGAACCUUACCUGGGCUUGACAUCCCGGGAAUCCCCUGGAAACAGGGGAGUACCCUUCGGGGAACCCGGUGACAGGUGCUGCAUGGCUGUCGUCAGCUCGUGUCGUGAGAUGUUGGGUUAAGUCCCGCAACGAGCGCAACCCUUAUCCCCAGUUGCCAUCAGGUAAAGCUGGGAACUCUGGGGAGACUGCCGGUGAUAAACCGGAGGAAGGCGGGGAUGACGUCAAGUCCUCAUGGCCCUUACAUCCCGGGCUACACACGUGCUACAAUGGCAGGUACAGAGGGCUGCGAAGCCGCGAGGUGGAGCGAAUCCCAGAAAACCUGUCUCAGUCCGGAUUGAAGUCUGCAACUCGACUUCAUGAAGGCGGAAUCGCUAGUAACCGCGAAUCAGCAGGUCGCGGUGAAUACGUUCCCGGGCCUU
rnacentral:rRNA from 1 species